UACCCAAGGUGAGGACACUUUUUCAACAACUCAUUAAAUCUCUCCCAAGCCUAAUACAAAGUUUUACUAUCAUUUUGUGCAAAUGUGGAGAUCUACCUCUUCAAAGCA